UACGUAGGGUGCAAGCGUUGUCCGGAAUUACUGGGCGUAAAGCGUGCGCAGGCGGUUCGCUAAGACAGAUGUGAAAUCCCCGGGCUUAACCUGGGAACUGCAUUUGUGACUGGCGGGCUAGAGUAUGGCAGAGGGGGGUAGAAUUCCACGUGUAGCAGUGAAAUGCGUAGAGAUGUGGAGGAAUACCGAUGGCGAAGGCAGCCCCCUGGGCCAAUACUGACGCUCAUGCACGAAAGCGUGGGGAGCAAACAGG
rnacentral:rRNA from 1 species